UUGUGUGGGUUUUUUUUCUGGUUUUAUUUGUUUGCUUGUUUUGGUAAGGUCUUUUUAAGCUCUGUGUUUGGAUAUUGACAUCAGUACCGGGGAAGUGCUAUAGUCGAUUUAGGUGGAACCAGGCCCCUUUUCAAGAACUCUGGGGAUGCAGACGGACUGAGGCGGCACUCACCGAGGUGUGAUACCGGUGGGAACCUUCAAGGGCGCUCUAAAGAUUGCCAGGCUGCAGUAACAGCAGAAGCGCUUCGUACACAAGUGGACACGACUGCCCGGCGGCACCAGCACCCAUACAAUGCGAUUAACCAGAACCAAGCCACUCCCUGAAACGACUUGCAUGGAAGGCAGAUGUUGUUGUAAGAACUGGGUAAAGGUGAGAUCAUGGCCUGAGAGUUCACACGCUGGUCAUAUCCCUUCUCUAAUAAUAUAAUUUAUAAAAUAAAACAGGAUUUCUUGCAUCGUUCUGAAAAUAUUCUGCAGGACCUUUUUUCAUAUUUGAAUCUAGGAAAUCAAACUGUUCUACAGAAACAGAUUAUUGUAUUUGAGAGCCUAUGAGAAACAGUCAAAACAUUAAAUUAAAUGAAGGCUGAUGUUUAUUUUUUUGAAGAUUUCAAAAAUUAUUACUUUAAUAACUGUAAUAUGGAAUUAAUCAACUACUCAUUUGGUGCAAAAUUGUGUUUUUGAACAUUAUUAUCCUGCAGAAAUAAACUCUGAAUAUGAGUGAGCUCUGAUAUAAGGGAUAGCAUGCUACAAGGCAGUUGGUAGUGUUAUGCCAGCUGUCUUCAUCAUGCAAGAAAUGCAGUAAUACUAUAGCAAACUUCUAUUGGAAAAUGUGGUAACUAACCUGCAAGAUGUCUUUUUAGUAUAAAUUAUAUUGAGCUUUCAGUGUUCAGUCAGCUUCAAAAUACUUAACAGGUUUUUAUUUUUGUGAGGAUUUCUAAGGCUCAAGGUGUUUUGUGCCCCAAACUCCUUCUUGAUAAGGUACUGUGAGGCCAACCUUGGCAGGUCAAAAGUAGCUUGUAAAUACUACCAGUAAGGUUGUAUCUUCAGCACAUAAUUUUGCUAUCACAUGCCCAGUUUUUAACAAGUACAGAGAUAUAGGCUUUCUUUUGGAGUCCUAUUGUAGGAACUGGCAGCUGCAACCAGAUUUCUUUACUAUUUUUCUUGUCUGGGAAAAGACAGAAAAGAUUUCAUACAUUGGUAAAGCUGCCAACUAGGCAGCACUGAGUUCCACCAAUGCCUGGUCCAUCCUGCUGCAACUACAGCAACUCAUCUGUGUGGGACCUCCUUCUCCACUGAACUGCUCUUUUGUGCCUCUGAAGAAGACUUGUAAACCUCAGUUUCACUCCCAGGGACCUGCAUGGAAAGCUAUGUCACAACUCAGUCUGACUGCUCAAGCCUGCACAUACAGCUGAGAAUUAUUGUUAUUAAGCAUCCCAGCAUGCUGACCUAUUCUUGGAAAUAUGACUGUCAUCUAAAUAAGUACCUAUUUGGGAUAAAAAAAUAAGCAUUUCUCUAGCUCCUUGACUUGACUUUUCAGUGUUCUUUAAACCCUAGUCACUUGAGCUGCUAUAGUCUAAAUAGCAGCAAUUAGGGAAUAGUUCAGUCAUCUGCCUCUGUUUUUCAGUACUUCACACCCAUGUAUUUAAAGGUAGCCGAAGGUCUACACGACUUUCCAACCAAACAUUGCAGCCUGACGUGUAGAUCCGCUAGCAUUGUCUGCAGUAUCCAUGGGAAGCUGGAUGGUACCUAAAUGUGUACCAAGAAACCAGGGGAUGCACUCAGCUGGUGACAAGCCUUCCUUCGAUGUUACCCGAGCUCUAAAGGAAAAAGUCAAACAUCAGAUAAUGCCAGGCUGCAGACAGUUUAGGCAGUAAGAACUUACUGCUUUCUUUCUGCUCCUCUUCCUCUAGACACUACUGCCUUAUAAGAGAUGUUUAAUUCAACUGCUGUGCAGUUUGGUGGGUAGGAUGCUCUGCUCUGAGCAGCCCUGCUUGUGCCUGAGCUACCCAGAAGACACGUCACGACUUGAGUUCAGUGUUGUAGCACAAGUUCAGGUGCUUUUCUGCGUAUGUUGCCCCUGGGCUCCUUCAAUUGGCAAGUCACAGCACACCCUGUGCACACCUCAGCCUUUGCUGUGGUACUUGGUUGUGCUGCCAAGGCAUCUCAGGGGUUCCCAGCACUGAAGGCUGAAUGAUACAGACUAUGAAUCCAAGCACGUGCCUCCAUGGGAAAUGCCUCCUACUGAAAACAUGCUACUAUGCAGCUUUGAAAGUGACACAGGCAAAUGAACUGUACCUCUGAGAACAACCUUACAGAAGGUUCUCAAGGUGUCUUCACCGGUGUCACAGAACGGAAUCACACAUUCUCCUCUCUGUCCUGCCUCAGUCUUGUUGUUUUGUAUAAACUUCUGUAUAAUGAAUAAUAAAUGUGGGCUGAGCAAGGCCCUCAUAACACUGGUUAUUGACAAGGCUUACAUUUAGCAGAGAGAUAAAAUGAACAGGGUACAACAUAUUUUCUUCCUCUAUUUUUAUUAAUGUUCCAUGCUUAGAGUGACCUUUUGAAGAUCUUGGUAAUGCUCUUGUUUAAUUUUUCUUCAUUCUAAAAUUAUCACUCUCAUUGGUUUGUUUUUUUUAUUUUCCCUAGAUAAAAGAAUCUUAACUUUUGCAUGAGACCAACCAGUGAAAAUGUUGAAGAUCAUUGUCAAGUGCAAAAGUAUUUGUGUAUCAAUAUUAUAAACAACUACAACUCUUUGUUAAUCUUACCUGUUUAAUAAGUAGUAAGUGUAAAAAAAAAAAAAAAUCUCAGGGAGUCUGUUUGUAUUGUGCAGAUUUUUUCAAGUACCAUUGUAAUUGUCGGUGUGACAUUUGAGAACAAAUAACCUCCAAUAAGAAUUUUUUAUCUGUC